GGGCAGCGGGAGCCCAGGGACGCACCGGGCAGAGCAAGGAGCUGAAGCAGAUGGAGCCCGUGGCAGGUGCCAGCCCUUGGAGGAGCCACAGAGUGCUGGGGGCUGGAAGGGACCUCUGGAGAUCAGCCAGCCCAGCCCCCCCAGUAAAGCAGGGGCAGCCACGGCAGCCUGCCCGGGAGCACCACCUCCAGGGGUGCAGUGACCACCUCCAGCCCUGGCCCAGCUCCCGGGGGUCCCUCAGCACCCUGCCUGGGCUCCAGCAGCGUCUCCAUGGCUCCCUGGGGCUCCUGCACCACAUCCAGCGCUGCGUGCAGGAGCUGCAGCUGGAGGAGGCACAGCACAGAGUGCCCGGGGAGCCUGGCUGUGCUGGGCACAGAGAUGGGCACCACAGCACGAGAGGAGGCCCAGGGACAGCCCGGGGUGAGGUCCUCACCUCCUGCCACAGCCCCAGCCAAAGCAGCAAGAGCUGCAGAGCUCCCCCCUGGAGCACACCGGGGCCACUUCGGCCUGGAGCCACCAGCCCUGCUGCGGGGGCAGGGAGGCAGGAGGCUGCCUCUGCCCUGGAGACCUCGGGCAGCUGCCAGCAGCACCACGGAGCUGUGUGGCAGGGUUAGAAACAUCGGGAGAGGUCACU